CUUCUCCAUCGAUGCUUUCCGGCGGCUGCAACAUUCCCGAUCCAUGGUCUCUGGCUCCGUCCCUCGGCCGGAUCUGGCCGAGGAGGCCGUCACCCCCGCGCUCGACGCCGACUCCAGAGUCCCCGCCACCGUCAUCACGGGCUUCCUCGGUUCCGGAAAGACGACGCUGCUGAACCACAUCUUAAACGCUCAACAUGGGAAGAGGAUCGCCGUCAUCGAG
rnacentral:misc_RNA from 1 species